rnacentral:siRNA from 1 species
UUGGGGCUCUGAGAUACUCU